rnacentral:rRNA from 1 species
UAUGUGAUCGUCUCUCGCAUAUCAAUAAGCGGAGGAAAAGAAACUAACAAGGAUUCCCCUAGUAACGGCGAGUGAAGCGGGAAGAGCUCAAAUUUGAAAUCUUAAAGGGUUUCCCUUUACGAAUUGUAGUUUAAAGAAGUGUUUUCUGUUGAGGUUUUGGUAAAAGUUCUUUGGAAUAGGACAUCAUAGAGGGUGAGAAUCCCGUAUUUGACCUUUACUUUCAACUUUGUGAUACACUUUCAAAGAGUCGGAUUGUUUGGGAAUGCAGUCCAAAAUGGGUGGUAAAUUUCAUCUAAAGCUAAAUAUUGGCGAGAGACCGAUAGCGAACAAGUACCGUGAGGGAAAGAUGAAAAGAACUUUGAAAAGAGAGUUAAACAGUACGUGAAAUUGUCAAAAGGGAAGCGUUUGACACCAGUGUUGUUUUUCUGAAAAUCAAUUAAAGAACUGUUUAUGCUAAGUUGUUUAGACUUUAUCAGCUAUCUGUUUAGUUUUGAGCUUUUCUUUAAUGCACUUUUCAGUUAACAAGUCAACAUCAAUUUCUUUUGCUGUAAAAAAGCUUGAGGAAGGUGGCUUGAGAUUCGUCUUAAGUGUUUAUAGCCUCUUGCCUAUGCAGUCGGAGAGAUUGAGGUCUGCAGCGUAGAUCCUUCGGGGCUAAAUGCAUUUGUGCUAAGUUAUAACAUUUUAUAGACAACUUGUUGACUAUGAUUUGUCUUGUAGCUUACUCGCUUAUGUUAUUUUACCUACGCUUAGGAUGUUGAAGAUAUGCGCGACACG